rnacentral:rRNA from 1 species
UACGAAGGGGGCUAGCGUUGUUCGGAAUCACUGGGCGUAAAGCGCACGCAGGCGGAUCGGUAAGUCGGGGGUGAAAGCCCGGGGCUCAACCUCGGAAUUGCCUUCGAUACUGUCGGUCUCGAGUCCGGGAGAGGUGAGUGGAAUUCCUAGUGUAGAGGUGAAAUGCGUAGAUAUUAGGAAGAACACCAGUGGCGAAGGCGGCUCACUGGCCCGGUACUGACGCUCAGGUGCGCAAGCGUGGGGAGCAAACAGG